AGAUUCCCUAAGUAGUGGCGAGCGAAAGGGGACCAGCCUAGAACACAAUUAUAUAUUAGUUUUUAGUGGAAUUAUUUGGAAAAAUAUACAGUAUAAGGUGAUAGUCCUGUACACGAAAAUUAUUAAUAUUAUAAGUUCGAAAAGUAGGGCGGGACACGAGAAAUCCUGUCUGAAUGUGGGGGGACCAUCCUCUAAGGCUAAAUACUCCUGACUGACCGAUAGUGAACUAGUACCGUGAGGGAAAGGCGAAAAGAACCCCGGUUAGGGGAGUGAAAUAGAACCUGAAACCGUAUACGUACAAGCAGUAGGAGCCUGUUUUUAAAAGGUGACUGCGUACCUUUUGUAUAAUGGGUCAGCGACUUGUAUUCUGUAGCAAGGUUAACCGAAUCUAAAAUAGGGGAGCCGUAGGGAAACCGAGUCUUAAAAAGGCGAUUUUAGUUUCAGGAUACAGACCCGAAACCCGGUGAUCUAGCCACGGGCAGGUCGAAGGUUAGGUAAAACUAACUGGAGGACCGAACCGACUGAUGUUGAAAAAUCAGCGGAUGACCUAUGGUUAGGGGUGAAAGGCCAAUCAAACCGGGAGAUAGCUGGUUCUCCCCGAAAGCUAUUUAGGUAGCGCCUCGUGAAUUCAUCUUCGGGGGUAGAGCACUGUUUCGGUUAGGGGGCCAUCCUGGCUUACCAAUCCGAUGCAAACUCCGAAUACCGUAGAACGUUAUCACGGGAGACACACAGCGGGUGCUAACGUUCGUUGUGGAAAGGGAAACAACCCAGACCGCCAGCUAAGGUCCCAAAGUCAUAAUUAAGUGGUAAACGAUGUGGGAAGGCAUAAACAGCCAGGAUGUUGGCUUAGAAGCAGCCAUCAUUUAAAGAAAGCGUAAUAGCUCACUGGUCGAGUCAGCCUGCGCGGAAGAUGUAACGGGGCUAAAAUUAUGCACCGAAGCUGCGGCAAUAAAGUUAUAUUUUUAUUGGGUAGGGGAGCGUUCUGUAAGCCGAUGAAGAUGUAUUGUAAAGUACGUUGGAGGUAUCAGAAGUGCGAAUGCUGACAUGAGUAACGAUAAAAUAGGUGAAAAACCUAUUCGCCGAAAUACCAAGGUUUCCUGUCCAACGGUAAUCGGGGCAGGGUAAGCCGACCCCUAAGGUGAGGCCGAAAGGCGUAAUCGAUGGAUUACAGGUUAAUAUUCCUGUGCUUAGUAUUAUUGCGAAGGGGGGACGAAGAAGGUUAAGUUAACCAGGUGACGAUUAUCCUGGCUUAAGCGUGUAGGAUUGAAAAUCAGGAAAAUCCGGUUUUCUUUAAUCUAAGGCGUGAUGACGAGCUAUUUAAUAAAUAGUAAAGUAACUAAUACCAAACUUCCAAGAAAAGCCUCUAAGCUAUAGAUAAUACUAAAUCGUACCCAAAACCGACACAGGUGGUUAAGUAGAGAAUACUAAGGCGCUUGAGAGAACUCGGGUGAAGGAACUAGGCAAAAUAGUGCCGUAACUUCGGGAGAAGGCACACUGAUAUUAAGUAAGUAAGAUUUACUCUUAUUAGCUGAAAUCAGUCUAAGAUAAUGGCUGGCUGCAACUGUUUAUUAAAAACACAGCACUGUGCAAACACGAAAGUGGAAGUAUACGGUGUGACACCUGCCCGGUGCCGGAAGGUUAAUUGAAAGAGUAAAGGGAAACCUAAAGCUCUGGACUGAAGCCCCGGUAAACGGCGGCCGUAACUAUAACGGUCCUAAGGUAGCGAAAUUCCUUGUCGGGUAAGUUCCGACCUGCACGAAUGGUGUAAUGAUGGCCAGGCCGUCUCCACCCGAGACUCAGUGAAAUUGAAAUUGCUGUGAAGAUGCAGUGUACCCGCGGCAAGACGGAAAGACCCCGUGAACCUUUACUAUAACUUGACACUGAACAUUGAUCUUUGAUGUGUAGGAUAGGUGGGAGACUAUGAAUCUUAUUCGCUAGUUUAAGUGGAGUCGACCUUGAAAUACCACCCUUUAAUGGUUAAUUUUCUAAUCUAGUUCCGUAAUCCGGUACAGAGACAGUGUCUGGUGGGUAGUUUGACUGGGGCGGUCUCCUCCCAAAGAGUAACGGAGGAGUACAAAGAUUGGCUAAUUACGGUUGGACAUCGUAAGGUUAGUGCAAAGGCAUAAGCCAGUUUGACUGCGAGCGUGAUAACGCGAGCAGAUGCGAAAGCAGGUCUUAGUGAUCCGGUGGUUUCUGUAUGGAAAGGCCAUCGCUCAACAAAUAAAAGGUACUCCGGGGAUAACAGGCUUAUACCGCCCAAGAGUUCAUAUCGACGGCGGUGUUUGGCACCUCGAUGUCGGCUCAUCACAUCCUGGGGCUGAAGCAGGUCCCAAGGGUAUGGCUGUU
rnacentral:rRNA from 1 species